AGAAUGAACGUUGGCGGCGUGGAUUAGGCAUGCAAGUCGAGCGAGUCUAUCUUGUAGCAAUACGAGGUAAGUCGAGCGGCGUAAGGGGCAGUAAUACCUGGGAACGUACCCUGAGGUCGGGGAUAGCUGCUGGAAACGGCGAGUAAUACCGAUGAUCUUGGAAAAGCAAAGGCUUGCCGCCUUGGGAGCGGCCCAGGCGAUAUUAGCUAGUUGGUGGGUAU
rnacentral:rRNA from 1 species